CCUACGGGUGGCAGCAGUGAGGAAUAUUGGUCAAUGGACGAAAGUCUGAACCAGCCAAGUCGCGUGAAGGAUGAAGGCUCUAUGGGUUGUAAACUUCUUUUAUAAGGGAAUAAAGUGCGGGACGUGUCCCGUUUUGUAUGUACCUUAUGAAUAAGGAUCGGCUAACUCCGUGCCAGCAGCCGCGGUAAUACGGAGGAUCCGAGCGUUAUCCGGAUUUAUUGGGUUUAAAGGGUGCGUAGGCGGACUUUUAAGUCAGCGGUGAAAGUCUGUGGCUCAACCAUAGAAUUGCCGUUGAAACUGGGAGGCUUGAGUAUAGUUGAGGUAGGCGGAAUGCGUGGUGUAGCGGUGAAAUGCUUAGAUAUCACGCAGAACCCCGAUUGCGAAGGCAG
rnacentral:rRNA from 1 species